rnacentral:rRNA from 1 species
GGGGAAUCUUCCGCAAUGGACGAAAGUCUGACGGAGCAACGCCGCGUGUAUGACGAAGGCCUUCGGGUUGUAAAGUACUGUCUUUAGGGACGAACGGCAGGUAUGCGAACAGUGUAUCUGCAUGACGGUACCUAAGGAGGAAGCCCCGGCUAACUACGUGCCAGCAGCCGCGGUAAUACGUAGGGGGCGAGCGUUGUCCGGAAUCAUUGGGCGUAAAGGGCGCGUAGGCGGAUCAUUAAGUCUGGUGUGAAAUAUAGGGGCUCAACCCCUAAACUGCAUCGGAAACUGGUGAUCUUGAGGACAGGAGAGGAAAGUGGAAUUCCACGUGUAGCGGUGAAAUGCGUAGAGAUGUGGAGGAACACCAGUGGCGAAGGCGACUUUCUGGACUGUAACUGACGCUGAGGCGCGAAAGCGUGGGGAGCAAAC